AUAUGUAUAUAUAUAUAUAUCAUGUAGAAAUUCAGUAUUUUUUAAGUGCAAAUGUUUGUCUUAGUGCCUAUGCUAGGCAAAAAUAAACUGAGGCUAAGCCAUUGAACCUGUACCUGCUUAUCUGUAAAGAAAAAUCUUCUCCGGGAUUCAUGUAAAGAAAGAUACUAUUUUUGAUGAGACCCUGGUCCAGCUGUCAUUGGAGCAAAGACAUGGAAUCAACUUAAAUGCCCAUCAAUGAUAGACUGGAUAAAGAAAAUGUGGUACAUUUACAACAUGGAAUACUAUGCAGCCAUGAAAAAGAAUGAGAUCUUGUUCUUUUCUGGACAUGGAUGGAGCUGGAGACCAUUAUCCUUAGCAAAUUAAUGCAGGAACAGAAAACCAAAUACUUAAUGUUCUCACAUAUGAGCAUGAGUUAAAUGAUGAGAACACAUACAGGGCACAGCACACAUGGGGCCUAUCAGAGAGUGAAGGGUGGGAGGAGGGAGAGGAUCAGGAAAAAUAACUAAUGGGUACUAGGCUUAAUGUCUGGGUGAUGACAUAGCCUGUAUAACAAACUCCAAGACGCACGUUUACCUAUGUAAUAAACCUGCAUUUGUAUGCCUGAACUUAAAAAAUUAAAAGAAAGUUAAAAAAUCAUCUAAUUGGAACCUUGAAGAAUGCUACCACUGGAUCCUUUUCCAGUGGUAACAAAUGAUGGUAUACUAAUAAGCAUUAUGAAUAAAUUGUGGAUUAUUAUCAGCAAGACACAAAUAAAUUAUAGUGAAUAUUGCAACCUCAUAACACAUGACCAAGGCUUAUAUAUUUUUUCCAGCAUUCCAUAAAAAAUACUCUGCUAAGCCAACCUUCUAAAUUUAGUUGGAAAACAUUCAAAGCAUAUGAAAAUAUUUGGUUGUGAAAUGCAUUUGAAUGUACAUCUUAUAAAAAUCUUUAUUUAUUUUUUUGAGACAAGGUCUCCCUCUGUUACUUACCCUGGAAUGCAGUAGUGUGAUUACAGCUCACUGUAGUUUUAACAUCUCAGACCCAAGCAAUCCUCCCACCUCAGCCUCCCAAGAAGCUGGGAUUAUGGUACAUGCCACCAUAUCUAGCUAAUUUUUUUUGAAUAAAUAUUUUUUGUAGAGACAAUGUAUUAUGUUGCCCAGUGUAUUAUGUUGCCCAAUGUAUUAUGGUCUCAAACUCUUGGGUUCAAGUGUGCCUCCCACCUUGGCCUCCCAAAGUGCUGGGAUUAUAGGCAUGAACCACUAUACCCAGUCCACAUCUAAUAAAAUUCUUAAUUUCUUUACUCAGUCCUUCAUUACUUCCUUUUGUAACUUCCCAAUGAUUAUACAAAGAAAAAAAAAUCUGCUAUGCCCAAGUAUGAAUUUCUUUGAAAGGCAAAUGGAGAGUCAAGAAGAAAGGAGAGCUUAAUGAAGACAUUCAGAUUAUUUAAGGACAGUUGCCACAUGGGUUGAAACUAUGAUUUCUUUUGCAGGACUGAGUUGUCAACACACUCCUUGUGAACAAGGAAAAGGUGCCCUUACUUUUGUAUUCUGACAGUAAAUAUUUAUUGUGUGAACAAAUUAAUAAAUGCAAAUGAAUAAAUGAAUGCCUACUAGUUUUUUUUUUUUUUUUUUAACCAUUCUUGGACUAAAUCUGGAAUGCUUGAUACAAA